UGAUAAAAUGGUCUGAUAGUUGGGUGUUUGGGCGUUUUUAUCUUGAUUGUAACUGUAAUGAUUCUACUUUAAAGAAGGGUUUGAGACUUAGAAGAGGUCAUUUUCUGUAUUUGAGACUUAGAAUGAAGACAAGGCUUGAUCUAAUUCGGUGUUUUUAGCAAAGGCCAGAAUAAAACCUAAUUUGAAAUAUAUGAUUACCCCGAUGAAAGUUUUAUAAAGCUUCCCAAAUAGUUUGUUGCUUAAUAAAAU